CAGUUCCUCCCCGCUCUGACAGCCCGCGGGUGCGGCUGCAGGUGCCGCCUGGGUUUCCUUAGCCCAGCGCAGGACAAACUCCAGAAGGGAACAACCCCAGUUCUGGUUCCCUCCGUCACCCCGGGGAAGGACCCGGCCCUAGCUACUCACUCUCCGCCCGCCUUCCCGAAAGCGCUGCCCCGACCCCGGGUCCGCCGCCAAGCCCGAGCGCCCGGGGCGUUCGAAGGGGCUGGCCGCUCCUGUGCCCACCGCCGCACGCCGUACCUGGUGGUGGUUGUACGAGUUCCUCUGCUGCAGGAAGGCGGCUGCGGCAGCCUGGUGCUGCUGCUGCAGCUGCGGGCUGACGGGUGA
ensembl:antisense Gm7854 predicted gene 7854